AUACGUAGGUGGCAAGCGUUAUCCGGAAUUAUUGGGCGUAAAGAGGGAGCAGGCGACAGCAAGGGUCUGUGGUGAAAGCCUGAAGCUUAACUUCAGUAAGCCAUAGAAACCAGGCAGCUAGAGUGCAGGAGAGGAUCGUGGAAUUCCAUGUGUAGCGGGGAAAUGCGUAGAUAUAUGGAGGAACACCAGUGGCGAAGGCGACGAUCUGGCCUGCAACUGACGCUCAGUCCCGAAAGCGUGGGGAGCAAAUAGGAUUAGAUACCCUAGUAGUCCACGCCGUAAACGAUGAGUACUAAGUGUUGGAUGUCAAAGUUCAGUGCUGCAGUUAACGCAAUAAGUACUCCGCCUGAGUAGUACGUUCGCAAGAAUGAAACUCAAAUGAAUUGACGGGG
rnacentral:rRNA from 1 species